CGUAUGAUUCUAUCGGGCGAAGACAUCACCGCGAUACGAUGAGUCUAGCAAAAGGGUCAAUACGUAAAGAUAGCUUACAGUGCUGCAAAAAGUCGAUAGCCGUGCCUCGAAAGGGAACGUAUAUUCAUAACGUUACAGUUACGUGUUACGUACGUUCAUAAUAACUGUACCUGAAGAGUUCCCAGGGUUUUUAUCAAUUUAAGAUCAGCGGGUACAAUUUACUUGGGAACUAUGGCAAGAAACAAAUCAUAUUUCACGGACCGCCGCGUCUUGAUCAAUGAUAGUAACGCUGCACGUAAGUAAAAUUAAAAGUCGGUCGAACAUGCGCGCCGAAUUUAAGCUAAUUAGGGACAAGAGAGUGACGAACAAAGCGAGUAAUUAUUCUGAUCUGUGUUUAUGUCAGAGUUCUGUCAGUAACCAUUCUUUUUACGGAAACUGCAACAGGCUGUCACUCGAAGCAAGUUACGUGCCACUUGUUACGUUCGUGCCAAUCGAUUAGAUGCGGUACUACUUCAUCGCUCAGACUCUACUGUCUUGAUAAAAAUUCAAGGAUUUGUGGAUAAACGUUCGAUUCGUGAAUUAAAUAGAACGGAGGCGAUGAUAGAAGCUUAAUACAAAAUCGAAUCAAGUCAGCGAAGCAUGGUAGCAUCAAAAGUUUAAUGGAGAUUAGAACGGAGUUACGUGCCACUUGUUACACGUUUAAUUAAAAGUUUCGACCAGAGAAGGGAGAUGAAUUGUAACAUUAAUUUGAUUCCUAUUUCUUUCAAUUGAAACUACCUGUGCCUGUAAGUAAUUGUAAAUUUUUAAUCUGGAUAAAACGUAAAUCAUUAACUUCGUGAACUUAAUUCGAGUAAUCGUGAAGGUAUCGAUCACCACGCACGAAUUAUUUGUCAUUCGUGAUGAAGCAGUUUGAGCUUCGUAUCAGUGUGCAUAAAUACAUAUAUACUAAUUCUAAUUACAUUUAUGGACGAUUGUAUGGCACACCAACAGACGACGAGUAAAUAAAUAUUUAUCAAAUUCA